CAAGCACUGGUCUUCUAGAAACUUCCAAACAGUUCAGAACAGCAAAUCUGUAACUGAACUUUCUUAACUUUCAGUAUUUACAACUGCUUCUUUAAAAUAUGUGCUAUUCAGCAAGAAAUUUCAUAAGCUAAAAGGAUUUGCUCAAACAGCAUUUCGAAAUUAAAGAAGUAAAGAAGAAAAUAUGCACACUGACAGGAUUGGAGAGUGUUUACAGAAACUGGGAAGAAAUAGCCAAGUAAUGGAUGCUGGAAUAGCUGGGAGGCCUGAUCCAUUACCCUGCCUAGGGCCUCAUUUGAUCAUGAUCUGUCACUGACAAGAAGUGAGCAAUUUAUGUAAUGUGGACUGAUGAUGUGAUGUAUUAUAUUAAUGUAUGUUUGCCCAAGUGAUAAUCUAAUAAAGGUGCUGAAAAAAAGA